AAUCAGCAUUAGGAUUUUAAACCCUAAACUGAAUUUUCCUUUUAAUCAGCAUUAGGGUUUUAAACCCUAAACUGAAUUUUUCCUUUAGUCAGCAUUAAGGUUUUAAACCCUAAACUGAACUUUUCCCAAUCAGCCAGCAUUAGGGUUUUAAACCCUAAACUGUAGACUUUUCCAUGUCAAUCAGCAUUAGGGGUUUUAAACCUUAAACUGAAUUUUUCCUUUAGUCAGCAUUAGGGUUUUAAACCCUAAACUGAACUUUUUUCCUUUCAGCCAGCAUUAGGGUUUUAAACCCUAAACUAAGCUUUUCUGUGCAAUCAGCAUUAGGGUUUUAAACCCUAAACUGAAUUUGUUCCUUUAGUCAGCAUUAGGGUUUUAAACCCUAAACUGAACUUUUCCCAUGCAACCAGCAUUAGGGUUUUAAACCCUAAACUGAGCUUUUCCAUGCAAUCAGCAUUAGGGUUUUAAACUCUAAACUGAAUUUUUCCUUUAGUCAGCAUUAGGGUUUUAAACCCUAAACUGAACUCUUCCCAUUCAGCCAGCAUUAGGGUUUUAAAC
rnacentral:lncRNA from 1 species